rnacentral:rRNA from 1 species
AUUGAACGCUGGCGGCAUGCCUUACACAUGCAAGUCGAACGGCAGCACGGGAGCAAUCCUGGUGGCGAGUGGCGAACGGGUGAGUAAUAUAUCGGAACGUGCCCAGUCGUGGGGAUAACGUAGCGAAAGCUACGCUAAUACCGCAUACGAUCUAUGGAUGAAAGCGGGGGAUCGCAAGACCUCGCGCGAUUGGAGCGGCCGAUAUCAGAUUAGGUAGUUGGUGAGGUAAAGGCUCACCAAGCCGACGAUCUGUAGCUGGUCUGAGAGGACGACCAGCCACACUGGGACUGAGACACGGCCCAGACUCCUACGGGAGGCAGCAGUGGGGAAUUUUUGGACAAUGGGCGCAAGCCUGAUCCAGCAAUGCCGCGUGCAGGAAGAAGGCCUUCGGGUUGUAACUGCUUUGUUCAGGG